UUCUAUUAGCAUAAACCAAUAAAGAUAGAACUUUUGAUACUAAUUGAGUGAGGUUUUUAGAACUUGAAGCUAAGAGAUCGUCUACUAUCUUAGAUAUGUUCUUGUUCUAUUUUAGUACUUUGCUCAAUCUUCUAUGUAAUAGAGAGGCAACAAUUAUAAUGCUCAAUCUUUGAUCCAUCAUAUAGUCUAUGUAAGUUCUUUAAAUCAUGUUUAAGAUAUGUUCUUCAUACAACUUUUUAAUGGUCGAAAUAUGAAACUUUCAUUUUCAUUGAAAUUUUCUCCCUCUCGAGACAUGUCUUUGUAUGAUCUUAAUUUGAUGAGCAGCAUGAAAUUGUUAUAAAUAAGCCCAAAUUCCAGUUCUAAAGAACAUAAACUAUUCGUUGUGUUGAAAUAUAUGAGUCUUUAUAGCAUGCUUAAAUGGAAUCAUAAAAAAAAUAUGUUUUGUUUUAUCAUGUGAGAUUUUCUUUGCCUCAAAUGCGGCCCAUCAGAGCUCAAUAAAUGUUAGUUUUUAUUUUUAUUUAUUUUUAAUUUUGAGACAAAUAUUUAAGUAUAUUUUCAAGCUUUAAUAGUCAACCAGUAGGCCAAAUGAAGAGUUUAAUUGAGUAGAGAAAAAAGUCAAUCAUGAUCAUCACAUGAGAGUUCAUUGCUUGCUUUAUCAGUGAACCAAAGUACAUCUUUUAGAAACAAGAAGCUUAUAUUUAUUUAUAAUUUUUGAGACAAAUAGGUAAGUAUAUUUUCAAUGAAAAAUUUAACUAUCUAAGGAAGAAAGUCAACCACAUUUGUCAAUGAAGGUUUAUGACUUGCUCUAUCAUAGCAAGGAGCCUAUAUGAUGAAUUGAGGAUUUGAUAACAUGAUAGUCAACCAAUAGACCAAACAAAGAGUUUAAUCACGCAAAGAAGAAGGUCAACCAUGAUCACCAAAUGAAGGUUCAUCCCUUGCUUUAUCAGAGGACCAAGGUACAUUUUUUAUCAACAAGAAGCUUACAUGAUAUCUUGAGUAUUGUAAAGUUGAUAACAUAAUAGUCAACCAGUAGACUGAAUGAAAAGUUAAGUUAUACAAAAAGGGAAAGUCAACCAUGUGCACCAAAAGAAGGUCUAUCACUUGUUUUAUCAGAGGGCCAAGGUACAAUUUUUAUGAACGAGAAGCUUAUAGGAUAACUUGAGGAUUGUGAACUUGAUAAUGUAAUCAUCAACUAGUGGACUUAAUGAAAAGUUUAAUCACUCAAAAAAGAAAGUCAACCUUGUGGACAAAAUGAAGGUCCAUCGCUUACUUUAUCAAAGGACCAAGGUGCAUAUUUUAUGAAUAAUAAACUUAUCUUAUAAUUGGGGGACUUUAAAGUUGACAAUAUGAUAGUCAACUAGUAGACCAAAUGAAAAUAUUUAUUUGUGAAAAAAAAGGAACUCAACCAGGUGUAUCAAAUGAAGAUUAUGCCAAGGGCCAAGGUGUAUUUUUUUACGAAAGAGAAGCUUGUAUGAUAAUCCUAAGGAUUCUAAAAUUGACAAUAUAUGAGUCAAACAAUAGACCA
rnacentral:lncRNA from 1 species